UGAUAUGUAUUUUUCUUUGAAUUUAUUAUUUUUUUUUGAACUACUUGGAUAGUUUAUUAUUAUUGUCAUAUAAUAAAGUUUUGAAUAUUUGACAGAGAUCAUUUUGGUCUUAUUGAUCUCUAGUGUUAUAGUGUUUCGUUUUUGUCUUCUUUCUUUUAAUCCAAAUUCAGAUAGGCCAUUCCCAGCGUAUUUAUGUAUUGUUUUUUAAGGCUUGCAG
rnacentral:misc_RNA from 1 species